UACGGGAGGCAGCAGUGGGGAAUAUUGGACAAUGGGCGCAAGCCUGAUCCAGCCAUGCCGCGUGUGUGAAGAAGGCCUUCGGGUUGUAAAGCACUUUUGUCCGGAAAGAAAAGCUUAGGGUUAAUAACCUUGAGUCAUGACGGUACCGGAAGAAUAAGCACCGGCUAACUUCGUGCCAGCAGCCGCGGUAAUACGAAGGGUGCAAGCGUUACUCGGAAUUACUGGGCGUAAAGCGUGCGUAGGUGGUUUGUUAAGUCUGAUGUGAAAGCCCUGGGCUCAACCUGGGAAUGGCAUUGGAAACUGGCUUACUAGAGUGCGGUAGAGGGGUGUGGAUUCCCGGUGUAGCAGUGAAAUGCGUAGAUAUCGGGAGGAACAUCUGUGGCGAAGGCGACACCCUGGACCAGCACUGACACUGAGGGCACGAAAGCGGUGGGGAGCAAACAGGGAUUAGAUACC
rnacentral:rRNA from 1 species